UACGUAGGGGCCUAGCGUUGUCCGGAAUUAUUGGGCGUAAAGAGCUCGUAGGCGGUUCGGCAAGUCGGAUGUGAAAUCUCCACGCUUAACGUGGAGGGGCCAUUCGAAACUGCUGUGACUCGAGUCCGGUAGGGGAGUGUGGAAUUCCCGGUGUAGCGGUGAAAUGCGCAGAUAUCAGGAGGAACACCGGUGGCGAAGGCGGGACUCUGGGCCGAUACUGACGCUGAGGAGCGAAAGCAUGGGGAGCGAACAGG
rnacentral:rRNA from 1 species